ACAUGUUGGGUUAUUUUUAUCUUUCUGGGGAGAUGGGGGAUGAAUGGACAGCGGAAGGAAGGAAGGAAGAUAUUCAAGGGCUUGGAUCCUCUGGUCAAUGGGUAAUUUGCUGGUGAAACUGAGGCAGGCAGAAUCUGGCUGCCAGCUGGCCACUGAGGCUGAGGAAAACCAUGGCUGGAUCCCAUAAAUACAUCAUGGUCCAUGCCUCAUUGAAUUAAAAAGACCUAGAGAAUAUAUCACCUCAUUUCUUCCGUGUUGCUGCUGGGAUCAGGGGCUUUCUGUACAGACCAGCAAUAGACUGCAAGAAAAUGAAGUUGCUUUGUGGUUUUCUCUAUCCCUUUUCUUUCCAUAAAAUGUGCUGCAGUCAUAUGAGGUUCAGAGGAAAAAGAAAAAGACUUAAGAAGUGGCAUUUUUAAUCCUCUCUUUGUAUUAACUGAUGUCCUCAGUUGGAGAGUGGAUGCAAACCACCAGAUAACCUCUCCCUAACUGCAGCUGAGAUGCCUACCUGGGACCAAAGCCUCCCAGGAUAAGAAGAACACAGAGGGAUUGGGAGAAAGCUGCUGGGAAAUGGUCAUUUCACAGGUAGCAAAAUGAUACACACACAGUUAUUGCAGAUAGGAGCUGCUGUUGAAAGGGGGAAAAAAGAAGUGAAAAAACUCCACUGCUUAGGAUCCAUUUAAACCUCACCCUCUAGAAACCAU